CGGCGACCACUGGAGGGGAGUUCAUUCUGCCGGGAGGGCUUACUGGUGGAGUCGUGAUGGUGGAAGACGAGGAUG
rnacentral:SRP_RNA from 13 species